rnacentral:rRNA from 1 species
AACGAACGCUGGCGGCAUGCUUAACACAUGCAAGUCGAACGCCCCGCAAGGGGCGGGGCAUACGGGUGCGUAACGCGUGGGAACGUACCCCUUGCCACGGACUAGCUGCGGACAACUGGAAUUAAUACCGUAUGCGCCCUAAGGCGGAAAGAUUUACCGGCAAAGAAUCGACCCGCGUUGGAUUAGCUAGUUGGUGGGGUAAUGGCCUACCAAGGCGACGAUCCAUAGCUUGGCUGAGAGGAUGAGCAGCCACAUUGAGACUAAGACACGGCCCAAACUCCUACGGGAGGCAGGAGUGGGGAAUAGUGGACAAUGGGCGAAAGCCUGAUCCAGCCAUGACGCGUGAGUGAUGAAGUCCUUAGGGUUGUAAAGCUCUUUCACCGGAGAAGAUAAUGACGGUAUCCGGAGAAGAAGCCCCGGCUAACUUCGUGCCAGCCGCCGCCGUAAUAC